UGUGAGCUCGAUGAGUAGGGCGGGACACGUGGUAUCCUGUCUGAAUAUGGGGGGACCAUCCUCCAAGGCUAAAUACUCCUGACUGACCGAUAGUGAACCAGUACCGUGAGGGAAAGGCGAAAAGAACCCCGGCGAGGGGAGUGAAAAAGAACCUGAAACCGUGUACGUACAAGCAGUGGGAGCACGCUUAGGCGUGUGACUGCGUACCUUUUGUAUAAUGGGUCAGCGACUUAUAUUCUGUAGCAAGGUUAACCGAAUAGGGGAGCCGAAGGGAAACCGAGUCUUAACUGGGCGUUAAGUUGCAGGGUAUAGACCCGAAACCCGGUGAUCUAGCCAUGGGCAGGUUGAAGGUUGGGUAACACUAACUGGAGGACCGAACCGACUAAUGUUGAAAAAUUAGCGGAUGACUUGUGGCUGGGGGUGAAAGGCCAAUCAAACCGGGAGAUAGCUGGUUCUCCCCGAAAGCUAUUUAGGUAGCGCCUCGUGAAUUCAUCUCCGGGGGUAGAGCACUGUUUCGGCAAGGGGGUCAUCCCGACUUACCAACCCGAUGCAAACUGCGAAUACCGGAGAAUGUUAUCACGGGAGACACACGGCGGGUGCUAACGUCCGUCGUGAAGAGGGAAACAACCCAGACCGCCAGCUAAGGUCCCAAAGUCAUGGUUAAGUGGGAAACGAUGUGGGAAGGCCCAGACAGCCAGGAUGUUGGCUUAGAAGCAGCCAUCAUUUAAAGAAAGCGUAAUAGCUCACUGGUCGAGUCGGCCUGCGCGGAAGAUGUAACGGGGCUAAACCAUGCACCGAAGCUGCGGCAGCGACGCUGAUGCGUUGUUGGGUAGGGGAGCGUUCUGUAAGCCUGUGAAGGUGUGCUGUGAGGCAUGCUGGAGGUAUCAGAAGUGCGAAUGCUGACAUAAGUAACGAUAAAGCGGGUGAAAAGCCCGCUCGCCGGAAGACCAAGGGUUCCUGUCCAACGUUAAUCGGGGCAGGGUGAGUCGACCCCUAAGGCGAGGCCGAAAGGCGUAGUCGAUGGGAAACAGGUUAAUAUUCCUGUACUUGGUGUUACUGCGAAGGGGGGACGGAGAAGGCUAUGUUGGCCGGGCGACGGUUGUCCCGGUUUAAGCGUGUAGGCUGGUUUUCCAGGCAAAUCCGGAAAAUCAAGGCUGAGGCGUGAUGACGAGGCACUACGGUGCUGAAGCAACAAAUGCCCUGCUUCCAGGAAAAGCCUCUAAGCAUCAGGUAACAUCAAAUCGUACCCCAAACCGACACAGGUGGUCAGGUAGAGAAUACCAAGGCGCUUGAGAGAACUCGGGUGAAGGAACUAGGCAAAAUGGUGCCGUAACUUCGGGAGAAGGCACGCUGAUAUGUAGGUGAAGCGACUUGCUCGUGGAGCUGAAAUCAGUCGAAGAUACCAGCUGGCUGCAACUGUUUAUUAAAAACACAGCACUGUGCAAACACGAAAGUGGACGUAUACGGUGUGACGCCUGCCCGGUGCCGGAAGGUUAAUUGAUGGGGUUAGCGGUAACGCGAAGCUCUUGAUCGAAGCCCCGGUAAACGGCGGCCGUAACUAUAACGGUCCUAAGGUAGCGAAAUUCCUUGUCGGGUAAGUUCCGACCUGCACGAAUGGCGUAAUGAUGGCCAGGCUGUCUCCACCCGAGACUCAGUGAAAUUGAACUCGCUGUGAAGAUGCAGUGUACCCGCGGCAAGACGGAAAGACCCCGUGAACCUUUACUAUAGCUUGACACUGAACAUUGAGCCUUGAUGUGUAGGAUAGGUGGGAGGCUUUGAAGUGUGGACGCCAGUCUGCAUGGAGCCGACCUUGAAAUACCACCCUUUAAUGUUUGAUGUUCUAACGUUGACCCGUAAUCCGGGUUGCGGACAGUGUCUGGUGGGUAGUUUGACUGGGGCGGUCUCCUCCUAAAGAGUAACGGAGGAGCACGAAGGUUGGCUAAUCCUGGUCGGACAUCAGGAGGUUAGUGCAAUGGCAUAAGCCAGCUUGACUGCGAGCGUGACGGCGCGAGCAGGUGCGAAAGCAGGUCAUAGUGAUCCGGUGGUUCUGAAUGGAAGGGCCAUCGCUCAACGGAUAAAAGGUACUCCGGGGAUAACAGGCUGAUACCGCCCAAGAGUUCAUAUCGACGGCGGUGUUUGGCACCUCGAUGUCGGCUCAUCACAUCCUGGGGCUGAAGUAGGUCCCAAGGGUAUGGCUGUUCGCCAUUUAAAGUGGUACGCGAGCUGGGUUUAGAACGUCGUGAGACAGUUCGGUCCCUAUCUGCCGUGGGCGCUGGAGAAUUGAGGGGGGCUGCUCCUAGUACGAGAGGACCGGAGUGGACGCAUCACUGGUGUUCGGGUUGUCAUGCCAAUGGCACUGCCCGGUAGCUAAAUGCGGAAGAGAUAAGUGCUGAAAGCAUCUAAGCACGAAACUUGCCCCGAGAUGAGUUCUCCCUGACUCCUUGAGAGUCCUGAAGGAACGUUGAAGACGACGACGUUGAUAGGCCGGGUGUGUAAGCGCAGCGAUGCGUUGAGCUAACCGGUACUAAUGAACCGUGAGGCUUAACCUU
rnacentral:rRNA from 1 species